rnacentral:ncRNA from 1 species
UGGUAGCACCAGGGGUGCUUGUCCGUCUCAGGGACAGGCUGAGAGAGUCCCUUUGCACCUGUGAACAGGUUAAUACCUGCGUAGGGAGCGUGCUGCUUGUGCUGU